rnacentral:rRNA from 1 species
UACAGAGGAUGCAAGUGUUAUCCGGAAUCACUGGGCGUAAAGCGUCUGUAGGUGGUUUAAAAAGUCCACUGUUAAAGAUUGAAGCUUAACUUCAAAAAUGCCGUGGAAACUUUUAAACUUGAGUAUGAUAGGGGUAGAGGGAAUUUCCAGUGGAGCGGUGAAAUGCGUAGAUAUUGGAAAGACCACCAAUGGCGAAGGCACUCUACUGGGCCAUUACUGACACUGAGAGACGAAAGCUAGGGGAGCAAAUGGG